GCGCUCUGUAAGAGCAUGCCGGCGUUUGCGCAGGCGUUCGCGCUGGAGGGCGGGCCGGGAGGGCCCCGAGUGGGACUCCUGUAGGGGUAGGGCGUAGACACCUCACAGGUCUACAAACAGCAGCUUGUAGAAUGGUGUCAACGAGGAGUGCUGCUAGGGCCUCUGCCCAGGGGGACAAGGCUACCCGGGGCAGGUCUGAGGCCUCCACCCAGACCGAGCCCAUGGGGGAGCUGAUGUCCCCCUACCUCCUGGCCUGUGGGGGAUCCCCAGCAGGGCCGGGGGGGCAGAGAUUGGGGGCCCCCACACCUGUCCGGCAGGUGCCCGUCUUAGGGCUCUGGAGGCGCAGGUGAGGGAGCUCCGGGAGGAGGUUAGCAGGCUGAGGGGGAUCAGGGAGGCGGAGGAGGAAAUUGACAGUUAUUUCCUUUCCCUGCAGGCCCAGGCACCCAAGGAAGAAGCAGCCCAGGGAGUGCCCUCCGCAGCAGAGUGGCAGAUGGUCACAGCCAGGACCGGAGCAGCUCGCAGUGAACCGGUACCAGCUUCUCCAGUCCGACUGGUGAACAGGUACGAGGCCCUGGCAACCCUGCAGGAGAUGGAAGGGGAGGAGGAAACCCUUGGGCAAGAAGAAACACCACAUUCUUCACACUCCGAACAGAUCAAGAGAUCCAUGAGGACCCAGAGGAGGAGGCGACGAGUGCUCGUCAUAGGCGACUCCAUCCUGAGAGGUACGGAAGGACCCAUCUGUCGCCAGGACCCCUCGGCACAAGAGCCUACCAGUGACCGGACGAGGAAGACGGCAGGAGAACUGCAUCCGAGAAACCAACUGGCGGCUUCGGCAGUGGUGUCUCAAGGCAGGCUUCGGCUUCCUGCACAAUGACCCGCACAUCACGACGAGGGACAUGCUCAGCUGGGAUGGGCUUCACCUGUCCCCGAAAGUUACUUGUCCUCCCUUGAUCUGCUGGGUGAAUAUGCUACUGAAAACUGAACAAAGGCAGCAGCUCCCCCCUGUUGCUAACAUUAGUAUAUUAAGCUAUCAUUAUCAUCAAUGACACUGCCAUCUGUAAUGUGCUGUGGGGCAAACACAGAGAGUGCCAGCAGCUUCAGCACCACCGGCAGAUGCUUCAUCACGUAAGAAGAUACAUGAAGCCAAAAUAUUCUAUACUUGAAGCCAAACACUUGAAUGAGAGAAAAGGAAGUGGGGAGGGAGAGGACAAUCAGGAAAGAGCUGUCCAUGCUCCUCAUCAAAGCACAAGAGUAAUUGUAAAAGUGUACAAGGAAGCUCUGAUUAUUGAAACUGUCCUACUUCAUCUUAAGGAAUAACAGGCAUAAAACAGGAGUCUUAAUUUUAUUCUAUUUCACUCAGAACUCUGAAUGACUGGCUCUUAUUCUUUCCUUUUAUCUUUUGCGUUCUCUCCCAUGCAGUUUAUAGAAAUUAGUUCCACAUAAAAAUUAACAAGUAAAAGUUGUUGCCCUUCUCCCCUCCACCCCAACCCCCCCCUCCUUCAGUAAUCCCUGUACUUGCUGGUAGGGAAGGGCAAAAAAGGCAGCUUUGGUUCUCCCUUUCUGUGUAUAUAUAGCCUCAUCUUAUUCUCCCUGUCCCAGAGCUAUGGCCCUUCUGUGUCAUUAAGACCUAUAAGAAAUAGACUUCACUUCUUGCUUUCUAGCUGCACCUAUAAGGGACAAGUUUUGAAAAGUGGUAACUGCAUUUUACAUACAAAUAGACAGGAACUCUUGUCUACUCUGUGCUCUUUUUUUUAAUUGAGCGUUAUCAUUCAGAGAUUUGAAAUGAUUACACAGAAUUCAAUCAACUCUACUAUUUUCUUACAGUAUAUAAGAUUCUAUUUGGAAGAGAUCCUCAAAUGCAAAAGAGCAAUGAUUUAUUAUUACUAAAAUGUAUCUUGUAGUAGCACUUAGAGGCCUCAUCCAAAGACCAAGGCAUCUGUGUGUUAGGUACUGUAUAAUCAUAUAGUAUGUAACAGCUCGUCAUAAAUAGGGCACUUUCCUAAAAGGAGAGUAAGAGUUGGGGCAGUGCAAUGUCGCAGUCAAACACUGUCUCAGUAGUCUAUCAGCACAAGUACUAACCCCACUAAUUUUGACAGGGCCAUCUUUGGUAUAAACGGUGAGAGACUUGAUCCUAGCAGAUGGUUCUUUACUCCUCUGUUCUGAUUUCUAAAAGAAAUACCUUGUAUUUUAUAGUGUAAGGGAACAGCAUGGAGUAACAUGAAAAUCACUUCAUAAAUAUUUAUAAUUUACUAAAAUGUUAUUUAAAUGUGUUACUGAGUUAAAAAAAAAAAUCCUUCUUUAUUCCUGACAUCUGUAUCAGGUUGAACCACUGAACUAAUGUGCAGUGCAUAUGUUCUUAACACACUUUUCAGAAUCAUUUUCUAUAGUAUGAUUUUGGUUUUUGCCCAAAAGUGGUCAGUUUCCAUUUUAUAUUUUUAAGUGCAUGUGAUCUAUUUCAUAUAAACUGUUUUCCUGAAUAACUUCUUAGUUCACAGGACUUACUACAUAAAGCCACACAUUAACAAUAGAUAAUCCUAAGGAUUCUGAUAGUAUUAGCUGAUCUUUCAUUAUUUGAAUCCUUAUCUUAAAUAAAAUAGAAAAUGGUAGUGACUUGACUGAAACUGUCCAGUUUAACACCAUGUAGCUUUCUUUGCCUUCAGAGCUCGUGUUUGCUCACUAUGCCCUCAAGUUAAUGGAAAAUUAUUUUCUUUUCUCCUCACAGUGGCAUUCUGGUGAACUCAACGAAGUACAAUGGGUAGUCCAUGUUCAGAAUGUCCUCACCACUUUCCCAAUUCAGAAAGUUCAAAUAGCCCACUUAAGCAUAAUCUUUAAGGAGUAAGUAAAACCUUUUGAGAAGUACAUAUUACCAGAGUUAAAAAAAUAGUGUUUUCUUCUAUAACUUGUGUAUCCACAUUCUACAUGAAACUAAAGCAGUUUAUUUCUUCAAAUGUAAGAUACGGAAUUUAGCUCCAUUUUAUUCAGUUCCUGAACUGGUAUUGUUCAGUCCAUUUGCAAUGUUAUGAUUAUCAAAGUAUUGAUAGGGAGAGCAUUUUUAACAUCAUCUGAUCACUAUAUGUAUUCUGUUACUUGAAUUGUCACUUUCCUCAAAAGUAAAGAAGAUGUUGUAAAAUUAAUUUAUUGAGUUACACAGCUAACUUUGAGUGGACUGGAACCAGAUUCAGAAUGGAGGGCUGUUCUCCAUCACUAAUGUAUAUCUAUAGACUUGUAUUUCAGGUUGUCACAUGUUACACCGGUCACUGCCUUUAUAUUAACUCAAUUGUUUUAGGACACAAGUCAGCAAACUACAGCCUGCAAGCUGGAUCUGCUCUGUGGAUACACUGGAUCUGACCCUUGGACCCAGGAGAGCUUCAGCAAUGUUUGUUGGACCAGGAUUUCAGUGGCAGGGGCUUUAUACACAUCUUACCAUGGCUGGGCAGUGGUGAGUUUCACCCAUGCCACAGCUGGGCAGCAGGAAAAAAAGGCAGUUGGGGCUAAUCCUGGCUGUAGCCUGCCUCUGGUCAGAGUGAAGUCAUUUUGGUUUUCCAUUGCAAUAAGGUUGCUGUCCACUAUUUUAAAGCAUUGCAUGAGUGCUGUCCUAACCCCAGGAUUGAAGGUUGCCUAACCCUGUCCAUUGUGAACAUUCUCCUGACCAUUUUUCAGGAGCAGGUUUUGCCAAAGAAAUUUGAUAUUUUGACAGAGAAAUAGCUCUGGCAGUCAGCUAGCAGGGCAUUUUACCACAUGAUACAAUUCUUUCCUACACUGACUCCCUGUCCAAAAUAAACACUAAAUAUCUUUAACGUAUCCUCAGAGAGGAUGUUGCUUUUUCUGUGUUUUCUCUUCUACUGAAGGUUUUCUGCAUCACUGCCUGUAUUUCAUCAUGCAGGAGAGUAUUCUAUGAUGAAUUUCUUGACAGCAUCUGAUAUUGCUGCUUCCUUGUUCAAAGAAAGGGGGGAAAACAUAAUAGAAAAAAAAGAAAAAGUGUUCCAAAAGAGUUAAAUUAGUUCAAAUUAUUCUAAACUCACCACAUUUGUCCAAGGCAAAUUCCAGGGGGUUUGUCAAUUUUAAUUAGAAAUGGCACAAUGAUUGUGCACAAUGUAGCAGAUUAUCAGGGCUACUUGUUAAAUUAUUAAAGGCUGGCUAAGCUUCAGAAUGAAGUUAGCGUCCAAAUUAGCAAAUGUGAUAGUUUAUAGUUUAUGCUCACAAAAAUAAUUGCUUUCCUUCCUCCUCCCGCAGACUGUUUUUUAUCUGCAAAAACUACCAAGCCUGUAAAUCUCCAGCUAAUUUCUGUGAAUUAUAUCUAGCUUCAUAACAAUACAACUGAGUGAAAUGCCAUGCCCUUUUAUUUGUCUCUAUCUCAUUUUGAUGUUGCUUACUUCUUUGCUAUAUUCAUAACUUCCCUUUGCUACAGUGUAUCAUGCUUUUACCUCGGCAGGGCAUAUAUCAUAGAAUCCCGAAAACUAGGGUUGACUAAAGAAAACUGGAUGCUGAGAGGGUGCGUCUACAAAUUCAAGAAUGUGCUUUUGCUAGCGUGCAUUAUAUUUAGUACGUGCACUUUAAUGCAUAUUAUCUUAUUUUAAUGCUAAUUAAAUUGUCACAAAAAAGUGCUCAUUAGCUAAUUCUCAUUAAAAUAGGCUAAUGUACAUUACCUAAAGUGCAUUAAUGAAGGUGUAGACGCACCCUCUAAUGUGAGGUACUAACUAAAUGUGAAUUAUGCUGCCCAAAUACACAGUGGUGAAAGCACGUGCUUUUUUACUGAUCUGUUUAGUAGCCUAGUUUUACUGUGCAUUAGCAUAUUAGUAGUUUUUUUCCAUGAUGCUCUAAUGCAUGGUAAAAUAGGCUACUUUGCAUUAAAGUGCACAUGUAGACGCACCAAGUAUGUGGCAAGCAGGCAGAAAAAAUAGCUUAUGAAAGCCCCGUGUAAGGAAAGUAAUACAAUAUAUGGUUAGGAACAGGUUCUCAAACUAUUGUCUUGGAGGUACCAGCUGGACACUUGGUAUUAUUUCUUCUUUUUAAUUUCAAUGGCUAAUUAGCUUUAAAAAUAGCUAAGCAUGGAUGAGAGAAGAAAGAUUGUUCAGCAGCUAAUUUCUGGACCAGCAUAGCAGUGUAGGAACUUUGAAAACCCACACCAGAGUCUUGGCUGUCACACGUUUAUUGUACAAUGUUGGGCAAAUCACUUAAUCCUUUAGCGGCUCACCUAUUCCAUUUCUAUAAAAUGAGGACAACAGUUCUUCCCUUUUUUGUGCAAUUGUUGAGAGAAUAAAAAGACUGUGAGGUACUUAGAUACUUUUGUAAGUGAGGUCAGGUUAAUAUCUUAGAUUGAUACAUUAAAUAUUUUCUUAUGUUUCCAUACAAAUGACCGUAUUUACCUGAAUCCAGGAUGACUUCAAAUUAAAAUGACCCUACACCUCCAAUAAUUAGAUUCUAGAUAUGAAAAAUGUAUACAUUUGUUAUAAUUUUCCAUGUAUAGAAUCCAAUUAUUUGACAGUCAUCUUAUAUCCCACCGCCCAACACCAUUGCAGCACGGCAAGCAGCAGCAGGGGCAGGUUGGGGGAUAGGCCCCCAUGGUUCCUGUUCCCAUACCACAUUUUGCCCCAUUUCACUUGCCCCACUCCCACCUGCCCCCAUCCAGGCCUGCACCUUUUGGCACCUGCUCCUCCCUGCAGUGCGGGCACCAUCUGGCACCUGUUCCCACCACCACUUGCCUCAUCUCCUGCUUCCCCCCCCACAGUACCUGCUACCCCCUCAAUCCUGUGUCUCCCAGUGCCUGUCCCCACCUCCAGCUUGCCCUUGGUUGCCCCAUCUUGUUGCUUGCCCCCUGUGCUUCCCUUCUCAACCCCCUCUACUCCUUAUGCCCCUCGCUGUCACCGUUUACUGCUGCAGCUCUGGUUUGAGCUGUGGACUCUCUCUGGCCUGGGGUAUGUGUGGCCUCCAGCCCCUGCACAACCAUGCAGCAGUGAUUGCAGAGUUCAGGCCCCAGCCCUGGACUCAGGGCCAGAGUCAGAGACAAAGCUGCUGUUCCCACUUGUACUCAAAUCUGAGACGAGGGCCUUCCCCUCCCUCAUUUUGAAUCAGAAAAAAGCCUUGUCUUAGAUUUGAGUAAAUAUGGUAUACCUUUAACAUCUAAAGGUAUCUCUUGCGUUUGGGAAUAGGAAAAGAGUGUGUUUUCUGCACAGUCAGUAAGAUAUGGUAGGUAGCCCCUGAGACAGUAUGCCAUUUAAAAUAUAGUUCAUCAUGAGAAAGGUUGAGCACCUCUGCUUCAAUAUGUCAGAUAUACUUUUAUUUCUGUUAACUCAAGAUACAAACACAUCUACCUUUAAAAAAAGUUCAUCACUCAAUAAACGUUUGAGUGAAAUGAGUUUCAUCAAAGUCACUUUCAAAGUCUUUUGGGCAAUUACAUUUGAUACUUUGUUUUGCACUCAUUCAUCUAAUUUUUGUCACCUUCAAAUCAAGUGUCUUCCUAGACAAAUAAUUACAUGUUCCAUAAACUCACUAGACCUUGGAUUGUGUUUAUUAAUGCAAGAAACUUUCUAAUUUCUAUCCAUACGAUGCCAGUCCCAUAUUCUGAAGGAAAAACAGUUGAGACAAUGAAUAUCUAUCAUUAUGUGUGACUUGCCAGAGGAAAACACCUCCUCAAACACCCACACACCUGUAUGAAACCCCUUUAGCUAUGUGACAGGAACAGAAGUCAAGAUUCAAUUCCCAUGUCAUUACAUUUCAAACCCAGCCAGUCUAUUGAUUAUCUGAUCUCCAUUGACACCCCUUGGGCACAAUAAACACAGCCUAAAAAUUUGUCAGCCCUGAUACAUUAUAAAAUACAUCUUCACUCUUUGGAAUGAUGUAAUCAUUUCACAUCUAUCACUUGUUCAGUGUCCAGGUGUUUUGCAGAGGUCAAAUCAUUUCAAGCAUUUUAGAUGUGAUCUACUGGAAACUGCAUUCACUCUUUUUUUUUUUUCCAAAAACACCUGAAGCACUGUGGUAAUCAUGGUGGCUUUAUCAAAAUGACACAAUCUUCACUAUUAUAUUCUGCCUAGAUAUGAAGCCUUCUAAAGCAAACUUGAUUAAGUAAUUAACCUUUUAUAACGAAUCAUUUAAAUAGACAGUAUCCCUCCUGAAAGACUGCUAUUUGUAAUGUAAUCUAUGAACAGCACUGUACCUAGGGAAGCAAUAUUUCUACUCUAAGUAGCACAAAAUAAGCACAAAAUGACAAAAUAGGAGUUUCAAACCUGUUAGCUGAAUAAAACAAAGGAAUACAUCAGUUUAACUGGUUCUCCAACUACUUUAAACUGCUCCAUGGUACAAAUAAACUAUUAACUUGACUUAAUUACUGGUAAAAUCAAGUUUAUGGAUACUUUGUAAAGCAGAGAGUGAACUGGUGCAUCCGGCCUUAACACUUUAAAAGGCUGAAAUGUAAAAUAUUGUCCAGAAAUAACAACACUUACUGUUCAUAUUCUUUCGAAAUGCUGAUUUUGUCUGUGUUUGUCAUAUUUAUUUCAUGAAAGGCCAAGUGUUUUAUUUGCAAACAACAAAUUUUAUUAAAUGCAAAAAUGUAGACAUCAUGCCCACCACAAAGAAAGACUUUCUUUCCUUUUAAGAAAGAUCUAUUUGCUGACUUCAUUUGAAGAACUGAAUAAAAGUCUUUGAAGAGCCCUUAAUAGGGAUUGUAGGAGCUUGUUUAUUCUUAUUUUAUUGACUGAAAAAUAUCCUGAGGUCAGGACCCCCAGAAAGAUUUAUU